GGUGUAUGUGGAUUUAUGUACUAAUAAAUAUAUGAUUGUAACAACAAAAUCUGAUGUAGGAGACAUAUAUUGGCUUAAUAUCAUGAAACAUGAAUCAAUGACGCAUUUUGAGACAUAGGCUUAAUAUCAUGAAAAAUGGUAAGAACUGCUGAAUUCAACGAUGGGAAGACCAAUUGUUUAAUUAGAAAUAAUCCAUAUAAUCAUCACUUGUUUAAAAUCACGUAAAUAAAAUAUGUCACAUAUUAAAAAUGUACAUUUUACUCAGAGUAAAGGGCUCAAAAGAAGUUGAUAAAAUUACGGUACUUUUUAUAUGUAGGAGCAUUUCGAUCCAAACGAGCAAGAGUGCCAGCCAAAAUGGAUACCUUCUCGUUACUAUCGUUGCCAACAACUCUGAUUUCC
rnacentral:misc_RNA from 1 species